CUCUCUUCUCUUGUCUUUUCUUUCUUUACUUUAUAACACGUUAUCAGCACGAAUCUCUAAUAUUGAGUUAAUGAAGCUUUAGUCGAUGACAUCGAUUCUCCCUCAUCCGAGUUGAGGGCAUGUUCUGUUUAAGAAUUAUUACAUAUUGGAUUUAAAGGUCUUCGUAUGAAGAAAAAAAAAAGGUAUAAGGAUUAUAUAGAAACGUGUAUAAGGACUGUAUUAUUACAUAUUGGAAUUAUUACAUAUUAGAAUUGUUUAAGUUUAUAAGUGUGACUUUAAUUGCUGAACGAAUCUACUGAUAUGGUAUUUUUCUUUUUGGUUUGGCAAAUCACUAGUCUGAAUUAGUUUGAUAAGUCAUUGGUUAUGUCUAUCUUGCUUUUACUAAGAAUAUAAUUGUAGAUGGAUAUAUAGUUUAUCAUCGUGAUGCUAGAACGCAUAUGCUUAUUCAAACGUACUCGUUAUUACGAUUACUGCAUACGAAAUAUUGAUACAUGUUUCAUUCUCUUAAUAUGUUUUGAUAAAACAUGCUUUAUGGGUUAUUUUUUAUUGCUUUAAAUUAUCAAACGAGUGGUUGUAUUGUUCUAUCAAGUUAGUGUUAUGAUUGAUAUUAAAUAUUAAUGUUCACUAACAUAACAGCCAUGUUUCCAUGAGCAAUUUAUUUUAAUGAUUCAGGAUUAUAUAUGUUUUUGUGAAAGACAAAAUUUUAGACGCGAUUCUAACCACUUGCGAAACAUGAAGUGUUUCUAAUAUGUCAGGUCUACAAUCUCCAAUUCAUGUCAUCCUCGUUGAGAUAAGUUCUAUUGAUCAUGCUCAGUAUACAUUCAUGUUAUUAAAUUUGAUUAGAUGUAUUAAUUUGCACAUGACAUCUGCUAUAUAUAUAUAUGUAUAUAUAUUUUUUUUUUUGUUUAGAAAAUUGAUUGAAAAGUAAUCAAUAUAAAGAUGAUUAAUAGUAUGAUAGUACGAUUUAAUAAAUGUUAUAAUAGUAAACAAAAAAAAAGAAGGAUGAAUAGGAUUUAUCACUCAUAGUAAAAUGUUAAUAGUAAUAUAAUCUGAUAUAUAUACUGAUAUACAUAUGUUAUAUUUUAUUAUCAUUGUAUAUAUAAGAGUAUUAAGUUUAAGGUUUGACCUUAAAAGAUCCAUACGUCUUGGAAAAUAAUCUAAAAAGGUAUUAUCACCUGAAUGUGAUUACCUAAAGCUCAUUAUGCAUUUUACAAGACCUGAAGUCUGUAAAUAAAUCUCAACUAUAUUAGAUGUUAAGUUUAAAAGUAAAAUUUCUCGAAGAAACUUUUACACAAACAAUGUGUCCAGUAGACAUAUGAUUGAGAAAAGAAAUUAAAAAAGUUUAUAUUAUAUUUUGUCUCUUUGAGACUGAUAAAAAUAAUGAGCUAUUGAUAUAAUCACGUCUAAUUGAUUAUGAACCAUUCUCCUGAAGAGAAAUAUGACAUUGAAAAAAAAAAAUCCACAAAAUAGUAUUGGUCAAGAAAGUGAUCAUAGAAGUGGUUGUAGACGUGAAUGUGGAUAUAAAUAAGGUCAAGACCAAUGAGUUUCUUUUUAGAACUCAAAUUCUCACUUGAAGUUGAUAAAAUAAAGAUGGUAAUAAAGAAUAGAUAAAGAUGAAAGAAAAUUAUUGUGAGUACAAUACAAGUAGUAUAAAGCUUGUAGAAAGUUCAAGAAGAGGAUAUAUAUGAAUGCUCCUGAAGAGUACAUAAUAUUAUUGCACAUAAGAAUGCAAUUUAAAAUCCUUAAUGUAUUAUAUUCUUAUAAGUCUCAAAAGUAAGAAGGAUCUAAGAAAGAGUACAUGGCCCAUGUAAGGCAUCUUGUUGAUUCUAAUAUGAGAUUCAAUCGAGAUUGAUAAACCUGUAGUGAUAUCAUCUCGAGGGGAAGAGUUAAAGAAUCUCAUAUUUUAUAAUAAGUGAAACAUCCAGAAGAUUAUGUUUACACUAAAAGUUAGAUUGAUGAAUCUUUCUCAAAGUAAAUCUAUGAAAUUUUGAGACAAGUUAUGUUUAGAUACUAAGCAGAGGAAUUCACUUCCAAAAAUAUUUCUCAAGGCAGUAAAACCAUUUUAGAAAAAGUAUCUACAUCCUCUUAUAUAUUGUACUACACAAAGAUUAGUGUAAUGAAGAUAUAUAUAGAGUAAACCAGAAGUUUACAAAAUACUUGGCAUGAACCAGUUAGACCAUUUUGGUUCAGUGAUGAUGCGAAAUGAUACAUAAAGAUUUAUGUGAAUAUUCAUUGAAGAACCAGAAGAUUCUUGUGAAUAAUUUCACAAAUGUUUCUUGCUCAUAAGAUAAAAUGAAAAUACGGUUUUCACCAGCCAAAUGAAGUUAUUGGCAUGAAUAAAGGAGAUGUUGGUGGACUGAUCAUCCACUAUGCAUCUUUAUUGGUGAAUUCACGUCUAAGUCUUUGACGACUAUAAAAAAAAUUCACUGGGAUAAGUGUUAAAUAUUUUGAGCAACAUUAAUUUGCAUCAAGCCAAAAAGUAAUCAUUAAUUCUCCCCAUCAUUGGUAUUGGGUCAGAAACCAACCAUUUUCAUCUAAGAAUGUUGGAUGGCGAUAUACAUUCCAGAUGCUCCACCACAGAGCUUAAAAUAAGAUGAGUUUUCAAAUGAGGUUGGUAAUAUAUGUUGGAUAUGAAUCUCCAUUGAUACUUAAGCAUCUAUAGUCAUCCCCGAAGGAUAUAAACAAGGCUCGAUAUGAAUGCUAAAUACUGAAUUAGUAUUUCCAACAUAAGGAGGAGAAAAUAAAAAGCUGGAGAAGAAAACAAGUUGAAUGGAAUUAUCAUUGAUCCUCAGACUAAAGAAAAAGUGAAUCAGAAAUCUAAAAGAUAAUUCUAUAGCUUAGUAAAUCAGUUGCCAGAAGCAACUAAUGACCCUAAUAUAGUGUGACCAAGUCACAUAUACCAGCUAUAAAUGCUCUAAAUAAGAAUUGAUGUUCCAGAAGAAUAAUAUCAAACUGCCAGUUACGCCUGAAGCGUAGUAGACAUAUUGGUUCCAAAGAUAAAAAUCCUCGUAAACGAAAAGGAGCAUACAUUAAUAAUGGUCAAGAGGAAUAAGAGUUUUUGAAUGAUCUCCAGAAGAGACAUUAAACAUGACUGAAAGAAAUUCAGGUACCUGAGACAACAAAGAGAUCUCAAUAAAUUAUGUCAUGUAUGAAAUAAAAUGGAACCGAUAAGAAAAUCGACGUCGAUAAUAUUUAUGCAUGCAAAGUAGCAGUUGAUAUGAUGAAUAAGAAAGAGGAUCAUGAAAUAAAGUCUAUUGAAAAGUGUACACACAAAAAUGAUUGGCCAAAUCAUAAAGAAGUAAUAGACAAAAGAUACAAACUCUUGUUAAAGAGAGAUGUAUUUGGACCAGUAGUCCAUACACUAGAAGGUGUAAAAUAAAUGGGAUAGAAAUGUGGUUGCACCAAAGUAAGAUCAAUAUGAAAUUGAUUGUGAAGAGACAUAGUCUCAUAUGGUAGAUGCAACUACUUUCAAGUUUCUUACUAGUCUGGCAAUAAAGGAAGAACUUGAACUAUACAACCCAUUGGAAACUGAUAAUCCCUAAGAGAUAUAAUCCUUGAAGGAUUGAUGAUAUCAAAAUUAUAUUCCCAAGAACUCUAGCUAUUCAAUCGAAAUAUGUUUUAUGGGAUAUGUGAAAUAUUAGAAGUUAAUCAGUACAUCCAUUUGUAUUUAUCAAGAAAUUAUGAAUCAAUAGAAUCAUUGAUUUGAAUAAAAUCCAAACUCUUGAAGAGUUAUAACAAAUUGUUUGUUUGGAAGAAAGAUCUUGAAAAGACUACAUUGUUAUGUGUUCCAAACUAGACAUCUAGAAUAAGAGAUGUUAUCUUAAAAGAUCUUUAAAUAUUUUAAGAUGAUCAUAUAUAUGACUGGUCCUGAAGUACCAUACUUAAAACAAGCUAUGUUUUACAUAUGAUAAGACUGCAAUGACUUGCAGCAGAGACCAUAGCCGUGGACAUGUGUAUGACUGAGAUCAGCACGCCCUAAGUGACAUAUAAGAUGAUCACAGAGAUAGAAAAAGAGAACCAUUAAGGCUCACGCCAAAGACCAUACAAUCAAAGGUCAUAUCCGGUUCCAUUCAAGUCCAAUCAUCCAUGAGAGAUGAAUAAUAUGCCAACCCAAAACAUGAUAUGGUUUUGAGGUAUCAACUAUCAUUAUGCAUAGUUAUAGCAAAUGGUAAAGAUGGUCAUGAGACGCCAUCAAAGAAAAGUUGGACUGCGAUGUUUAAGUAAUAAGAUUACACUGUGGGACUGAAAUGUAAGCACGAGCUCUUAUGAUUGCAUCAGUGGAUAAAAGGGAAUCAUAAUGGUCCAAGGUUUUAACGAGGCAACAAAGAACACACAAAUGAUACACACCAGAAAGGAGUAUUUGAAACUCUAAUGCUGAUUUAAAGUCUUUGAAAGCAAGAGAAUCGAAGAAAAUGAUCAAGUCAUAGGAGGACUCAAGCACUGCAGAAGAACGGUGAUAUUCGUGUCCUACAAAUUGGCUGAUUUAUUCAUCAAGGCGGUACUCUCAGCUACUUUCGAGAAGUUAGUUCACCUGAUCAGAUUACAUCAUCUCAAAGAUCUCGACGAAUGUACACAUGAGGGGAAGUCAUUACGCGCUGCACUCUUUUUCCCUUAACCAUGGUUUUUCCCAUUGGGUUUUCCUGGUGAGGUUUUUAACGAGGCAGCAUCUACGGCGUUUUAAAAGCACUUCGACAUAUUGGACAUCAAGGGGAAGUGUUAUAAAUAUUGUAGUGAUGUCCAUAUGGAAAGUCCUAGAUAUACUUGUUCCCCACUCCAAGUUAAGCUUUGUCUCCAAGCUAUUGUAUCAUAUAUAAGGAGGUCAUUAUUCAUGGAAUAAGAUACACCAAU